AUGGAUCGUCCGGCAGCCGGCUUGGGGGCCAUGAUGGACUUUAUCUCCCUGGCAGUAUCCCAACAUGCUCAGAACAGGUGAGGGUCACAGGCCUCAUCCAGCCCAGAUGCUGCAAUCAACAUGCAAGGUAUAAAAGGGAAGCAGAGCUGAGGGGCUGGGACUGCUCAACUCCCCAUGUUGAUGGCAUGGGUGUAAGCAGGAUUUAUGCUGGGGGGGGGGGCAGAACCUCAGUUAGUUAAGUAUUUGCACUGAUUUACUUGAUGGGGGGAGCGGCAGCAAUCUAUAUUGAGGGUAUAUCUGCAACAGAGACGUGGAAUUUCAGUGGCAGUUUCCCUCUGUUUGGUAUUUGUUAGCCGGUCACCUGCUUACAAACUAUUUUUAAGUGUUGCCAGCCUCAUAAGAAAUGAAACAUCAAAGUAGAUUUCAUCACAUUGCUAGUUGAAGCCAGCGAUAUCUUAUGGAAAAUCACUAGAGCACACGUAUUAAAGGACUUCAGGGGAGAUAGAUUAGAGAGCAAAACCCAAGGUACAAAGGCAUUUUGGACACAUUAUGCAUUUCUGGAAGAAAAUCUGGAAAAGGCAUACAUUUUUAUGAACUUUUUGUUCAUUUGGCACAAAGAAUUUGCUGAUUUAUUGAAGUCAAUGCAUGUAGUUUUCUGCCUCCUGUUUCCCUUUCCUCCAACUCACUUCUCCUUUAUCUACCCUUUUGUCAGAUUCUUAUCUCUUAGUCACUGACCUAUUCUGCCUCUUCCCUCAGCCACACUGCUUUUGGACACCUUAUCCCUUAGCUUCUGUAUCUGAGGUUCCUGCUUCCAGGGGGUUGGAUUGGAUGACCCCUGGGGUCCCUGCCAGCACUAUGACUCUAUGAUCUUCUUGGGACACUCUCCUGUCUCCCCACCCCCACCCCCCACCGGGCCCAGUUCUCAGCCAGCCCAUCUUUUGAACCCAUAUGAAGUUUUCAUCCCAGCCAUACUGGCAACUUUCUAUUGCCUCAGAGAAAGUGGACUGCAAACAUUCCACACCACAACACCAUUCAGUAUCCAAGCCUUCACCACCACAAGUGCAACACAAUAUAGAAUCUAUAUUACAUUAUAGACUAAUCUCAGAAUGACUUUUCUAUUUUUCUCUUGCUCCCCAAGUGCAAUGUUUACUCCUGACUAAUGUAUCAACAGUAAAUCCUGUAGCCAGCAAUUAUGCAAUAAACAAUAAAGGAAAAUAUAAAUAAAUGUUUGAACAAUCUCAUAAUCUUUCUCUUAGGCACCACAAAUUAUCCAGCCCAACAGAGCAAGUUCCUCACAAUCAAAAUGGUGAACUCGAUUCUGACCUCACCAUUAUUUAAAUCGCAAGGCAUGUCGAUUGUCUACACCUGAUUUACAUAGCUGUAAAACCAGAGAAGCAGUCAUCAGAAUAUGACCCAAAAUUGUUUCUGUUUUUAUACACAGGA